CCCCCCCCCCCCAAGGCCGUCCCACCCCCCCGGCAGCCGUCCCAGCUGCCGUUGCCUGUUUAAACAACAAAAAAUCAUUAAAACAGACCUAAAGUGCCCCCGGCUCGCGCAGGCGAGGCGCCUGGCACGGCCCCCCCCGCCCCCAGCCGGGGAUUUCCAGGCCUCUGCAGCGAAUCCCGCUCAAACGGGGGCCUGGGGGGGCCACGAGCUGCCAAAACGGGCCCAAAGCGCGCGGAAACGGGUGCUGUGUAACUCGGCAGCGUUUAGUUGAAGGGAACCUCAGGCCAAACGUGAUUUCCGCUCGCGUGGGCCGUGCCGAGCUGCCCCGAAGGCGCUCUGGAGCGCGCGGCGAAGCCAUCGGGUCACUUUGCUUAAAAAAACUGGGUUUUGAGCCCAAUUACUGCAGCGGGAGACCGUCCCCGCUCCCUGCUGCCUCCCUGCCGGCUGCAAAGCCGCAGCAGCGCUCCCAAAGCCGCAGCGACACGACGGCUCUGCAGCGAAACACAUGGGCAUCGCUCGGUGCCAGAGGAAGCGACUCCGCGCCGUUCGUGCAAGGGCUUGGGGGGCCGGGGGGGGAUCUGCUGCCCCUCGGAAGCCUCCUGGCAGCUGCGAGCGGGAGAGGCGCCAGCUCCCGAGCCGCGCGCCGAGAAGCGGCUCCGAGCGGGAGUCACGUUGCCGGAGUUGGAUGCAAUUAUGCAAAUCCGUACCAAAGAGCCUCCUGCUCCCGCUCCGAAAGUGGUGGCACCGUCCCCGCUUUCGAACCGCCGCGUUUGCAGCCCCGGCGGAGCCUGCCAGGUUCGCUCCGCUUGGCACCGGCGACGGCCUCCCCCUGCUCUCGGAUGGGCCCGCAGAGCGGCAGGGACCCGCGCGCCAGCAGCGGGAGCCAGGCAGGCUCUGCCAUCUCGCUGAUUGGAGCGACUUGAAAAGGAAAACCUGGGCGGGGGGACAGGACAAAGCCUGGCGUUUUGGCAGCCCCCCUCAGCUCUGCCCGUGCCCUGUCCAGAAGAGCCUGGGAUCCCCCCGGGCCGCCGCGCUCUCCCUCCGCCACAGCCCGCCUCAGCCAUGAUCCCCCUUCGCCUCAGCCUUUGGGGCUCCCCCGCCCCAAAAUGUCUCCCCUCGCCCCAACCCGAGGCUUCUCGCCCCAGCCUAGUCCCAAGCGUCCCUUCGACCCACAACCCUCCUCCUCGCCCCAAAUCCUGGCACUCCCCCCGCCUCGUGCCCACCCUCCGCCACCGCUCCGCCAUUUUGACUCCGGCGCCUCCUUCCCCUCACAGCCCUGCCCUUCCCGCCUUUUCUCUCGCGGCCGCUCAUUGGCGGAGCCGCGGCCGCGGCGGGCGCUGAUUGGUCGGCGCGGGUGUCCGUCGCCGCCCGCCCGCCGCGCUCUCCCCGGCGAGGCCGCUGAGGGGAAAUGGCGGGAGCGGCGGUGCGGGGCUUUUGAGGAGGCUUUUCGUCGUGGAGCACGCGGCCGCCGCUCUCAGAGCGAGAACGAACGCGCCAAACCAACGAGAGCGAGGCAGGGAAGGGAGCCUCGAGGCGCGGCGCUCGGCAGAGCUCCCGGCCCCCCGUGAGCCUGAGCCCCGCGUCCCUCCUCCGCGAAGGCCGCCAUGGCGGAUCAGGAGUGCGAAAACGAGGCGCUGGAGCAGGAGGUGCUGCGGCCCGACAGCCCCUUCUUCGCCGGCUUGGAGCGGGGCGAGGCGCCCGGCGAGG